UAAAUAUAUUGAGAGACACAUAUAUGAAAGUUGUCUUGUCAUAUAGAUAACAGAAGGAUAAAAUAAAGAUGGCAAGAUAUAUCGUUUCAGUCGUUAUUUUUUUCCAUUGACGAUCUGAUUGUUACUUGUCCACAU